AACAAAGUGUCUGUGAUCAAUCCCAACAACUAAAGUGGAUCCAAUACUUCAACUAGAGCUUUCUCAUUAUUGAUUACUCUUUAUUUUAUUAUUUGCUUUCCAUUAUUAUUCUCAUUAUUAGUUUACUACAAUCAAUCUCAAACCCCCCCUGUUAUUUUGUUGACAGUUUUGAUUCCAAAUUUCAGUUUAUCUCAUUUGAUCCCACUUUCAGUCUUUUAUCUCAUUUUUAGUUUAUUAUCGUUUCAAUUUAUUUUCUUGGUCAUAAAAAGAGAAAUAGGUGAGUUCUCAAUUCUCUGUGGAUUCGAUCCUUUCACCACUAUCUGCAGUUAUAAAUUGUUGAUAACCAGAAAGGUUAUUUUUGACCGGCUU
rnacentral:lncRNA from 1 species